AUUGAACGCUGGCGGAAUGCUUUACACAUGCAAGUCGAACGGCAGCAUAGGUGCUUGCACCUGAUGGCGAGUGGCGAACGGGUGAGUAAUACAUCGGAACGUGCCCAGUCGUGGGGGAUAACGUAGCGAAAGUUACGCUAAUACCGCAUACGAUCUAAGGAUGAAAGCGGGGGACCGUAAGGCCUUGCGCGAUUGGAGCGGCCGAUGUCAGAUUAGGUAGUUGGUGAGGUAAAGGCUCACCAAGCCGACGAUCUGUAGCUGGUCUGAGAGGACGACCGGCCACACUGGGACUGAGCCACGGCCCAGACUCCUACGGGAGGCAGCAGUGGGGAAUUUUGGACAAUGGACGCAAGUCUGAUCCAGCCAUUCCGCGUGCAGGACGAAGGCCUUCGGGUUGUAAACUGCUUUUGUACGGAACGAAAAAGCUCUUACUAAUACUAGGAGUCCAUGACGGUACCGUAAGAAUAAGCACCGGCUAACUACGUGCCAGCAGCCGCCGUAA
rnacentral:rRNA from 1 species